CGGGCUCUGCGCACCGACGCGGGCGCCCAGCCGCUGCGGGAGCUGCGGGCAGAGGGUGGCCACAUAGGGAAGCUGGCUCCUGCUGAAUCAGGAAGAUUAUCCGCCCUGGUAGGACUCUGCCACGUCACGGGCGGGAACUCCAGCCCCUGACCAUGCCAGAGCAGGGCUGCUGCUCCCCACCCACCCUGCUGAGCUGGAAGAGCAGGGCAGACGGCCCGCGUUCUGCCACACUGUACCACGAUUGGAUCCCAAGUUCUGAUCCCACCAGGCUCUGUCACAUAUCCUAUAAACUCAGUGAAGUACCACGUUAGGAAAAUCCUUCCCAUGGCUUUGCCAACGCCUCGUUUGGACCUUCUUCCCAGCAGAGCUGAGUCCUG
rnacentral:lncRNA from 1 species